rnacentral:lncRNA from 1 species
UCAAAAAUAUUCCAUCUAAAUCCUGGUAUAUGUUCCUUUUUUAGAUCGUUUAUAGAAUCAAUAAUAUAUAACGACAUCAGGAUCAAUGAUCAAAGAUCGACUAAGAAACUCAGGGAUUAGGGAAUCAUACUUACCUUGUUAAGAAUGGUAUCGAUGGAAUUAGUGAAGGGAUGUGUGGCACACAGACCAAUAGAUCUGUGCGUCCUUGAUACACGCAUGUACGUACACGAAGGUUGCUGGGUUGAAACUUGAAAGGAGAUUGAUUCAUCUCUCGACCAGACAAUACAAGAACAUGAUUUCGUUCUGUAUCUUUAGCCCAAGCACCCCUAUCUCUGUGUUCUCUUAUUUCUUCGCACUGUCCUCAUCACCUCGGCAUCCCGAUCUAGUGCCUCUGGCCAUGCCACCCCGGCGACGUCGCCCCAGCCUGCCCACCUGUGUUGCACGGCUUCUCCACAAGCUUUUGCUUCUGUGUUUGCUGCGUCAGCCCCACCAUGCCAUGGCCACUAUCUCGCGAUAUGGGAAAAUCUGGAGGGGAGAGGCAAUUAAAAAAAAUUGGUUCUUGCUUUCCAAUUAAGAUCUGAAUGAAGACGUUGUGGCGUCACGAGACGGCCAUCUGAAUUUCCACGACGACACAAAACUGAAUGCAAGUAAUAUUGCUCUAUGAAAAUCUACACAGGAGUACACCAAGAGCUGCAGCGACAUUUUCUGCAUGUAGUAUGGUUAAAACUACC